rnacentral:rRNA from 1 species
ACGCACGCUGGCGGCGUGCUUCACCCAUGCCAGUCGAACGGAAAGGCCUCUUUCGGGGGGUACUCGAGUGGCGAACGGGUGAGUAACACGUGAGUAACCUGCCCUUGACUUUGGGAUAACUUCAGGAAACUGGGGCUAAUACCGGAUAGGAGCUCCUGCUGCAUGGUGGGGGUUGGAAAGUUUCGGCGGUUGGGGAUGGACUCGCGGCUUAUCAGCUUGUUGGUGGGGUAGUGGCUUACCAAGGCUUUGACGGGUAGCCGGCCUGAGAGGGUGACCGGCCACAUUGGGACUGAGAUACGGCCCAGACUCCUACGGGAGGCAGCAGUGGGGAAUAUUGCACAAUGGGUGGAAGCCUGAUGCAGCAACGCCGUGUGCGGGAUGACGGCCUUCGGGUUGUAAACCGCUUUCGCUCAUGACGAAGCUUUGUGUGACGGUAGUGGGUAAAGAAGCACCGGCUAACUACGU